GCUUGUGACUGUAGCAUCCAGAAUACGCCCGAUCUCAUCGGAUCUCAGGAGCUAAGCAGGGUUGGGCCUGAGUAGCGCCUGGGUGGGCAACCACCAUACACAUCAGGUUGUGACAUGCU
rnacentral:rRNA from 1 species